UAAUGCCUAGGAAAUUGCCCUGAUGUGGGGGAUAACCAUUGGAAACGAUGGCUAAUACCGCAUGAUGCCUACGGGCCAAAGAGGGGGACCUUCGGGCCUCUCGCGUCAGGAUAUGCCUAGGUGGGAUUAGCUAGUUGGUGAGGUAAUGGCUCACCAAGGCGACGAUCCCUAGCUGGUCUGAGAGGAUGAUCAGCCACACUGGAACUGAGACACGGUCCAGACUCCUACGGGAGGCAGCAGUGGGGAAUAUUGCACAAUGGGCGCAAGCCUGAUGCAGCCAUGCCGCGUGUGUGAAGAAGGCCUUCGGGUUGUAAAGCACUUUCAGUCGUGAGGAAGGUGGUGUAGUUAAUAGCUGCAUUACUUGACGUUAGCGACAGAAGAAGCACCGGCUAACUCCGUGCCAGCAGCCGCGGUAAUACGGAGGGUGCGAGCGUUAAUCGGAAUUACUGGGCGUAAAGCGCAUGCAGGUGGUUUGUUAAGUCAGAUGUGAAAGCCCGGGGCUCAACCUCGGAAUAG
rnacentral:rRNA from 1 species